GCAGAAGUACUCAAGUUGGCCGAAGAGGCGCCCCUGCUAAGGGUGUAGGGCGGGAGACCGUCGCGAGGGUUCAAAUCCCUCCUUCUGCGCCA
rnacentral:tRNA from 1 species